UUCCGGUUGAUCCUGCCGGACCCGACUGCUAUUUGGGUGAGGAUAAGCCAUGCGAGUUGGAUGGGAUACCUAAAUUUCCCAUAGCAAACUGCUUAGUAACACAUGAUCAACUUGCCCUAUGGAGAAAAAUAACCUCGGGAAACUGAGGAUAAUGUUUCAUAGUUGAAUAGGCUUGGAAAAGUUUUUCAAUGAAAGGAAUAAGAUAAAUGGUUCUUAUUUGCCAUAGGAUAGGAUCGUGGUCGAUUAUGGUAGUUGGUGAGAUAACGGCUCACCAAGCCGAUAAUCGAUAGGGGCCGUGAGAGCGGGAGCCCCAAGAUGGGUACUGAGACAGCGACCCAGGCCUUACAAGGCGCAGCAGGCGCGAGACCUCCGCAAUACACGAAAGUGUGACGGGGUUACCCAAAGUGUUCUCUUAAGAACUGUGGCAGGUGAGUAAUGUCCCCUGCUAGAAAGGAGAGGGCAAGGCUGGUGCCAGCCGCCGCGGUAAAACCAGCUCUUCAAGUGGUCGGGAUAAUUAUUGGGCUUAAAGUGUCCGUAGCCGGUUUAGUAAGUUCCUGGUAAAAUCGGGUAGCUUAACUAUCUGCAUGCUAGGAAUACUGCUAUACUAGAGGGCGGGAGAGGUCUGAGGUACUACAGGGGUAGGGGUGAAAUCUUAUAAUCCUUGUAGGACCACCAGUGGCGAAGGCGUCAGACUGGAACGCGCCUGACGGUGAGGGACGAAAGCCAGGGGAGCGAACCGGAUUAGAUACGUCGGUGCUAGAAUAAUAAAAUAACUAACACCAUGCUAAAAACCCGGGUAGUCCUGGCCGUAAACGAUGCAUACUAUGUGAUGGUACGGCCAUGAGCCGUAUCAGUGCCGUAGGGAAACCGUUAAGUGUGCCGCCUGGGAAGUACGGUCGCAAGGCUAAAACUUAAAGGAAUUGGCGGGGGGAGCACCACAAGGGUGAAGCCUGCGGUUCAAUUGGAUUCAACGCGGA
rnacentral:rRNA from 1 species